CAGUCGAGCGGAACGAGUUAUCAGAACCUUCGGGGAACGAUAACGGCGUCGAGCGGCGGACGGGUGAGUAAUGCCUAGGAAAUUGCCCUGAUGUGGGGGAUAACCAUUGGAAACGAUGGCUAAUACCGCAUGAUGCCUACGGGCCAAAGAGGGGGACCUUCGGGCCUCUCGCGUCAGGAUAUGCCUAGGUGGGAUUAGCUAGUUGGUGAGGUAAGGGCUCACCAAGGCGACGAUCCCUAGCUGGUCUGAGAGGAUGAUCAGCCACACUGGAACUGAGACACGGUCCAGACUCCUACGGGAGGCAGCAGUGGGGAAUAUUGCACAAUGGGCGCAAGCCUGAUGCAGCCAUGCCGCGUGUGUGAAGAAGGCCUUCGGGUUGUAAAGCACUUUCAGUCGUGAGGAAGGUAGUGUAGUUAAUAGCUGCAUUAUUUGACGUUAGCGACAGAAGAAGCACCGGCUAACUCCGUGCCAGCAGC
rnacentral:rRNA from 1 species